ACCGGAUGCAGUGGCAUGUGUCUGUAGUCCCAGCUAUUCAGGAGGCUGAGGCUGGAGGAUCUUUUGAGUCCAGGAGUUCUGGGCUGUAGUGCACUAUGCCGAUCAGGUGUCCACACUAAGUUCGGCAUCAAUAUGGUGACCUCCUGGGAGCGGGGGACCACCAGGUUGCCUAAGGAGGGGUGAACCGGCCUAGGUCGGAACAGAAGCAGGUCAAAAACUCCCGUGCUGAUCAAAAGUGAGAUCGUGUCUGUGAAUAGCCACUGCACUCCAGCCUGGGCAAAAUAGAGAGACCCUGUCUCU
rnacentral:SRP_RNA from 1 species